CACGUAGGGGGCAAGCGUUGUCCGGAUUUAUUGGGCGUAAAGAGCUCAUAGGUGGUUCGGUAAGUCGGGUGUGAAACCUCCAGGCUCAACCUGGAGACGCCACCCGAUACUGCUGUGACUGGAGUCCGGUAGGGGAGCGUGGAAUUCCUGGUGUAGCGGUGAAAUGCGCAGAUAUCAGGAGGAACACCAGCGGCGAAGGCGGCGCUCUGGGCCGGUACUGACACUGAGGAGCGAAAGCGUGGGUAGCAAACAGG
rnacentral:rRNA from 1 species